rnacentral:rRNA from 1 species
UACGUAGGCAGCAAGCGUUGUUCGGAAUUACUGGGCGUAAAGAGUGUGUAGGCGGUGCUCUAAGUCUGUUGUGAAAUCUCCCGGCUUAACCGGGAGGGUGCGGCGGAAACUGGAGUGCUUGAGGUUGGGAGAGGGAUGCGGAAUUCCAGGUGUAGCGGUGAAAUGCGUAGAUAUCUGGAGGAACACCGGUGGCGAAGGCGGCAUCCUGGACCAUUCUGAACGCUGAGGAGCGAAAGCCAGGGGAGCAAACGGGAUUAGAAACCCCGAGUAC